UGAUUUUGAAACCAUAUUUUUACCUGCAAUGUGAAAAAAUAAUUUUUCCUAUUAGAAUGAAAUUAUCAUUAAUAGGAAUUACGAAAAGAAAGAUAAGCAAUAUAUUGUUUCUGAUUUAUAAGUUAUGAUUUAUAAGUUAAUAAAUAUAUUUUUUUAAUUUUUAAAUUUAUAAACAAUUUAAGAGGAAAGAGAAGUUGAAUCGAAUUAUUAAAUUUAAAUCUAACUUUUUUUUCUUUCCUAGGAAGCGGGAGCAUAUUUUUGGUGCGUGAAUUGUCAUCAGGUAGAAGCUGAAAUAUUUUUUCAAAGGGACCAAGUCUUUUAUCAUGUGUUUCCAGAAUUGUCAAAUGGAUCCUAAAAUGGAUUUCCCGCAAUGAGAUCAUAAAGAAGUUUCACCGAUGGGAUUCUCCUUCUGUAUACGAUGUCAAAAGGAAAAAACACCGCAGUUUUAUGAAAUUCCGACCCAGGAGCAGUCGUGUUACGCUCGAAACCGCUUUUACGGCAAUUGAACGCGAUUAGGGAAGCCGGCCGUGCGGACAGGAUCGAAAUCGGCAUCUGCUUAUGACAGCGGCGCGUUAUAAUCCGUAUUGUGCAUUAUGCUGCGUUCAUAGGGGCGCGUCCUGAUCAUCAUGGUAGAUUUAUAAUGGAACGAGUGAAUAAAAUUCGGUUGAAUUCAUGGAGGCAAGGAAAACAGAGGAUUGAACAAUUUUAAAAAUGAGGACAAAGGGGCAAAUUAGAGGCAUGUGUGAAAGGAUCAAGUAUCGCAUAUAUAAAUCGCUCAUAAUCAUGGGAGGUGCUUAAAAACAAGAGGAAGGAAGAGAAGGAGCAAAGGUUGCGAAGAAAAGCGCUUUGUAUCUGGCGAGUCCUUUCGCGCGACUUCCCGCGUAUGUUUUGUGGUGCGACUGAUGCGUAGGGCGGAGAGACCUUAUCUAAAAGCCACGAAGAGGUACUAGACGAGGGAAGUACUCUCUCGCCGCUCCCGUUCGUUAAUUCCUUUUCCACCGAUAAUCCACUCGUUGAAGCCGGUGGAGUUUCGGGUGUGCGGCGACUUCGAGAGGUCUACAAACAGCCUUGCUUGCCUCAACGCGUUCUUGCAUUCUCUACUUUCACGUGUCACCCAUUCCUUUUUGUCCUGAGCCUUCUUGCCCUCGCGAGCUGGACGAUGCAAUUGAAAUAUGAAUAUAUAUACCUCGUUGCUAUUUGAAAUUUCUCGCGUUUGUUAUUUGAAAUUUCUUUUUCAUCUUUAGUUUGUAACCGUAUAAAAAAUUUACAAAAAUUUCAGAAAAUAUUUAAGAUGUUUAAUAAUUAAUGUUAAAAUAAAUAACGAAAUAAGAGAUUUCAAAAAGAAAAUGAAAAAAAGGAUCAAAAGGUAUGAUAUUCAAGUAAAUCUUAUUGAGUAUAUAUAUAUGGAUAUCUGAAUUGUAUCCGGAUCGAAAAUUUGCAGGCAGGAAUGGCAAAAGAUUCGAUGAAAUGAAGGCGGGAUAUAAACUGACAAAGAGAAUUGUUAUUUCAAGGGAAUGGUCUGUCCGUCAGUCCGUUUGUCCGUCGCUCCCACAACGGUGCGGUGUGUAAACAGAGAAAGUUGAACGAGAUAGGGAUAUAACUAGUAUAUAUAUUCGCAAUCCAUGGAAGAAAGAAAUUCGUGACAAAUACCGAUUCUUGACGAUAAAAGUCGGAGCUUGUGCAAAAAGGCAAUAGGGCCUGCAGGGGUCCGGCCAAGGUUUGCUCAACACCAAGAAAAGGGGAGCUUAGCUUUAACUUCCGAUUAACUCGUGGUUAACUCUCGUUCAGCCAGAUUACACAUCGGUUAACCUCAAAACGAACAAAGUUAACCUACGAAUUUUCUCGAUGAAUUUUUCAUCCUUUCAUUCAUCGUAAAAGUGAAGAUCAGAUCUAUUAGUGACAAUUUUAUUUCGUUUCGUCCAUAUUUAAACAUUCCAUUCAGAAUAUUUAUCGGUCUUUAAUCAACGAUUAAUCAAGCACCUGGACACACCGGUUCCGCCUAUGCACACGCCAUCUAUCUCUUACUUUGACAUUAAUUAGUGUAUCGAAUAGCGAUAAAUUCAGAGAGCAGUUCAUCAAAGCGGAGGACACGCGACAUUUGGGAGGAACAUCGAGUACCUGUUUGGCUUAUGCUCGACAGAGGCCCGAGAUCGUACAUCCGUUCGAGCAGGGAGUAUGCGGUUAAAGUGGACGAUUGAUCAAGUUAGCGUAACGUCAUUACGUCGCGUACAUUGAGGGUUCACGCAAAAUCACCACCACCAUCGUAAGCAACGGAGUAUUGGGCGUUACCACCCUUCGUAGGCCCGCCAACUGUUUCCUCGGGCAAUUUCACUCGACACCAACAUUCGACGGAUUAUCCAAUGGAAACCCCCAUGUAGCCGCGGGCUGCAGGAUAGUUCACGGAUUGUUCCGAUGUUGCUCGAAAGAAAGACGCGUGUAAUUGACGAGAAUUGCCACUCGAGGUGUUCUGAACCGUUUCUGAACGCAUCCGUUUGCCUCAGGGCUACAUGGGUGAUUUUCUUCUGAUCUAUUGUUGUUGGAAAUGAUCUUUGUAUUCUCCUUUCUUCUUUUAAAGUUGAAUUGAAGAAUUUGUAAAAAGAAAUUGUGUUGGAAAAGUAUUGAAAAAAAUUAAAGAAGAAAAUAUUUAUUCUUUUUUUUAUCAAAUGAUAGUAACGAAAUAUAAAAAGUGGAAUUAUUUUAGAAUCUCGGAUAACCUUUCCCAAUGGAAUCUUCUACUAACUUAACAAUUAUAAUUAUUUGCAGAAGGAGUCGGCGGGAAGCAAAAAUCGCAGGAAAAAGAGAUUUGCAAAGCUUGAUUUUAAGUCACAGGCGUGUUUCCAUCGCAAAGUGCAAGGAACCGCAACGAUGAGCUUGCGAAUACCAGGAUCAAGCAACGUCAAAUUAUGAUUAGGGCUGUUAAUUGUCCCGUGUUGACCCUUCUGAGUGGUGGCCCGUGGGCAAACACGAUUCCCGCCUCCCUUUUGUUGUUUUAACUCAAUACCGUCGGCCGGGGAUGACUUACCGAUUACCAGUCGGGAUGUCUGAAAACCUGGGGUCUUCGGCCCAGCAAAUAGAAAUGACUUUCCAGUUUCUCUUUAACGAGCCUCCCAUUUAAUUCGCUUUCUGUGUGAACAACUAAUCAUACGUUCUUCCUUUUCAACAAUAAACGAGGUAUAGAGUGAAUAAUAUCACUUUCAAAAUUCACUUCUUCAUAUCUUAAAAAAUAUUUACAAGAAUAAUUACAAAAACGAUAAAUUUAUAUUUAUUUCAAAAAAUUAUAGAGACAAUCGAUCGAAUCCAGAUGUUUGAUCCACGUGCAAGAUUAAUAUUAAAAUUCAACAAGUUUUCUGUUCAAUGUGUGGAACACGUGGAACACUCUUACAGUUCUAAAACAAUUGAAAGCAAAAGUUUUGAAGAAAAUGCCGGAAUCAUUUGGUUUUGAUCGCACUUUUUUCACCCUCUAAUUUCUUCGUCGUUUCACGGCAGGGAUGAUCCAAUAGCCGGGGACGCGAAUGUUUGCGGUUCAAAAUGUAUGCACCCUCGCGUCCCGAAAUUGCAGUGGGAUUACAAAAGAACGGGUCCGCGCGUUCUACAGGGCGUAGCAUAAAAAGAAAUUGGUGGCGUAUUACGCGACCGGCACGUUCGAGUGUAUUUACAAUACACUCGUAAAUCUGCCUCCUCGUCGCGAUAAUUGAUGCAAACACGUUGAAAAACUCAUGAGACGGUAGUUGUAUCGUAUAGAUCCGUGUUGGGAGAACAAUUGUUGCCGAUUAUUUUCAAACAGCCGAAGAGGAGCUGCUUAGAGGAGCUCGCUGAAUCGUUUCCGUUGCAAUCAAUGCACCAUUUACACGAAGUUUCAUUAUAGCAUGAAAAUGGAACGUAGGUAAGUAGAAAUACACGGUAGCCAUAUAGAUAACCUUUGAUUCAUUAAUAUCUUCGUUAAUACCUUGCAAUGUAAUUUUCCUCGAGUUUUUCAGAAAGAGACUUUUGAGAUGGUAUUCUUCUAAGUAUAUUCAAAAAAAUUCAAAGAAUCUAAAGAAUUUAUGAAUCCAUUAUCAUUUUCAAUCUCGUCGAAUUUCGAUGUUAAUGAAUACGCUUUCAUUGGAUCUUGCACGGAUAUUCGAUCUUUAGUUAAUUCAAUUAUUGCCUCGUCGAAAAUCAAUUGAGUCAAUUGUUCAAGGUCACUCACUAACGUCACCCUUCUUCGUACCCUCGUAUUUCAACGAAGGAUAUCGAACAACUUGGAUAUUUUUUUUUCCUCAAGUUGUCAAGAUUGAAGAUCGUCUUCGAUCGACGACUUUUGCACUGACCUGUAGGUUUCACGGGAAGACGAGGAAAAAGAGAGGAAUGCAAUUACGCCGGCCACAUACUGCCUGUGUGCGUGGCGGUGAUGCGGUAUGACGCGGGGGCGGCCGCAAAAGCCGACGACAUAUUCAUGCGUGCGUUAUUAUGCGAGGGAGCCGUGAGUGCACUCGAGAGAUACGCGCACGCGUUCCACGACGUCCAAUUAACCGCACGCAUUUCGACACCAAAGGAAUUUCACGCGCGGAACGCGCGCGCGUGCCCGCGCGUAUCUUCCAAGAUAACCUCAAAUUCGCUCGACCAAUGUAACGUAUAAUGUAUAUACAUAACGAAGCAGAAUAUUUUUGCAAUGAUAAUAAUAAUUUAAAUAAGAAAUUUUCACCUCUA
rnacentral:lncRNA from 1 species